rnacentral:misc_RNA from 1 species
AAACCCUAAAAUUUCUUGUGAAUUGACUUCCUCUGGCUCGUAGUCGAAGGAGUCCAACAAAAAACCAAAAAAUUCUUGUUUGAAUCAGUGAGUAGAGUUAUUACUAAUACUCUAGCGUCAUGAUGAAACCCAACGCUUUAAUGCAGCAGCAGGAGCCUCAGGCGGUGGCGAUCCAGAAUUCGAACCAGGCUUCAUCUGCGGAUGCGCCGCCCAAGCAGGUGGCGAUGGCUAUGGACAGGCUGGCCCAAGCAGCUCGUCUCAUUGCCGACGUAAGGCUCGGCGCUGACCGGCUCCUCCAAGCGCUGUUCAUUGCAGCGCAGCCCCACCAGAGUAACAAGCCCUUGCAUUUGUUCGCGAAAGAAGACGCUGCCAUGCGUCAACAUCUCCAAAACCUCCGCACCGUUGGAAGGCAGCUAGAAGAAUCUGGGGUUCUCAAUGAUUCUCUAAGGUCACGAAGCAAUUCUUGGGGUUUGCAUAUGCCACUAGUGUGUCCAGAUGGUGCAGUCGUUGCAUAUGCUUGGAAAAGGCAACUUGCUGGCCAGGCUGGUGCAUCAGCAGUUGAUAGAACUAGGUUAGCUCUUAAGGCAUUCACAGAUCAGAAAAG